rnacentral:lncRNA from 1 species
UUUUGAGAUGAGAGGACAAAAUAUAUUUAAGUAAAACAAAUUUUUAAUCCAUACGCAAUUUUCAAAGUUUAUGCAAAUAUGAUCGAACUAAUGUUUUAGGCCAAAUAAUCCCAGAACAAAAGUCCCAUCUCUAAGAUUGAAACGCAUCAAUUCAAUCUCUAGAUUCUCUACCCUCAGCUUCCAAUUUCUCAAUUUCAUCCGGUGACUCAUCACUCGACUGAACUUCAUCAACCAAAACUGCCGCAACUCUAAGAAUGUUUUCUUUUCUUGGCCUUCUCAUAGAAGUUAGUACAACAACAAAGCUGCAACUUGGGUUUGCUCGUUCCAUACUCCUACUUGGAAAUUUUACUAUCACUCACUAGUGUAAAGACGGGCAGUAACAUGACUAUCUUUUCGCAUUUAUUGGCAACGAACAAUAAAAUUGUAAAAAUAAUUAAGCGAAGGGUAAAAUUGGAAGAAAAAUGUUACACCAAGACAUAGUGUUUUUUUUUAUAUGGUUAAAAGCUUUUACAUAGUGUCACAAUAUUUUUCCUAUUAUUGUGGAUUGUUUUAUUUUAAUGCGAUUUAACUAUUUUUUAACUGAUAAUUUAAAUAAAAUUGAUAAGUUAGAUGAAUAAUAAAAUUGGAAAGGAAAAAUCCAACCCAAAAGGGUUAUCCCAUUUAUAUAUUGGUAUAGAUAAAGGCUUGAAUGCAAGUUCACCAUGCUAUUGCUCUAUCAUGUUUUAUGCUUCUAUCAUGGAUGUCAAUGUGUUGGUGUGGAUGAGGCCAUAAUUUGAUGGGCCGCCAGAAUCAUAAAAAUGAAGAGUUAAAUGAUAAAGAUCAGUCAGUGAUGGGUUUUCUUUUAGGGUUCAUAAUGAAUGGAGAAAUCUUUCAACAUGUCUCUUUUCUCAAAAAAGGUGUAUUUCUGUUAGACUAUAUAUUUUUGUCAGUUUUGCACAUUUAGAAUGACAGUUCCAAUAAACUAUGAAUGAAGAGAUAAACCUUUGUAAGCCAAGUUAUUUCUUGUAUUGUCUGUGUUCAUUUGCAAGACUCUCAUGUGGCUAGCCCCUCAUGGAUAACUUACAGACCAAUACCUCAUUUGAAGUGAUCAAUCCACAAUUUUUUAUUUUUUUCAUUAGGCCACCAACUAUGGCCCAAUAGUGUUGGGCUUGAAGGGAACUCGAUUCCCAUAUUGAAAAGAGAUAAGGCUUGAAUACAGUUUAUAAAGAAGGACAUCCUUCACCUUACAACUUGUAAAUUACAAGCAUGUUUUGUAAGGAUGAGUACCCAAUCUGAAAAAUCUAUCAUACUAUUUGAGCUGGAGUUUGCAGGCAUGUUGUGGGUUUUAAAUUUGCAUUUGUAUCAAUGUUUUAAAUUUACAACUUGUUGAAUAUCGGCCAAGGCGGAUAUUCAAUAGACCGCCAUACAAUGGUGGUUGCGUGGCGGAUUUCAUUUGGCAGAGCCAUGCUGGCCCCAAGAAAGUAACAACGACCAUGGCUGCACAGCAGAAAAUGUAAUAAAACUGAAACAACUUGUACUAGAUUGUGUAACGCGUGACCCAAAUAAGUUAAAACCCUAAAAACGACUACUUUAGCCUCAUUUCUCUCUGCUCUCUACCCUCUGUUCUCUUCCUUCUUGCUGUGUGUGAUUGUGCGACCACCCUCCAACUGCGAAGACUGCCCAUCUGCGAGUUCCACCCAGCUCUAAGUUCCCCCUUGCUGUGUUCUCGCCUCUUUGCGUGUGAAAGUUGUCUACAUGAUUGUAUUUGAAAGAUGAAGGGUCUGCAGACUGCAGUUCUCAUUAGAAACAAUAGGCCAACCACUUAUUUUUGCUGCAGAUUAUUUUUACUCAUUAGUCUUUGUAUCAAAAUCUUAUUUGACAUACAUCAGAACCUAUUUAUAUUAGCUUGUAGAUAGAAAUAGCUUGUUUGCUCAGUUGACCAACCACUUGAGAUGGUUAACUGUUUAUUUCUUAGAUUUCCGCCGAAUCCCAGUGUUCUUGUUUGGUAUGUAUUGUAAAUGUUCAAAACUACAAUAAUUAAUUUUGAAUGUUUCAAAUUAGACAAAUGUGAC